CUACGGGAUGCUCCAGUAGGGAAUUUUGCGCAAUGGACGAAAGUCUGACGCAGCAACACCGUGUGGACGAAGAAGCUUUUAGGAGUGUAAAGUCCUGUCAGUAGGGACGAAAUUUGACUGUACCUACAGAGGAAGCAUCGGCUAACUACGUGCCAGCAGCCGCGGUAAUACGUAGGAUGCUAGCGUUGUCCGGAAUUAUUGGGCGUAAAGAGUUCGUAGGCGGCAUAUCAAGUCUGGUGUUAAAGACUGAGGCUUAACCUCAGAAAAGCACUGGAAACUGAUAAGCUAGAGUCCGGUAGAGGUAAGGGGAAUUCCCAGUGUAGCGGUGAAAUGCAUAGAUAUUGGGAGGAACACCAGAGGCGAAAGCGCCUUACUGGGCCGGUACUGACGCUGAGGAACGAAAGCCAGGGGAGCGAAUGGGAUUAGAUACCCCAGUAGUC
rnacentral:rRNA from 1 species